rnacentral:rRNA from 1 species
AUUGAACGCUGGCGGCAUGCCUUACACAUGCAAGUCGAACGGUAACAGGUUAAGCUGACGAGUGGCGAACAGGUGAGUAAUGUAUCGGAACGUGCCCAGUCGUGGGGGAUAACUACUCGAAAGAGUGGCUAAUACCGCAUACGACCUGAGGGUGAAAGCGGGGGACCGUAAGGCCUCGCGCGAUUGGAGCGGCCGAUAUCAGAUUAGCUAGUUGGUGGGGUAAAAGCCCACCAAGGCGACGAUCUGUAGCUGGUCUGAGAGGACGACCAGCCAAACUGGGACUGAGACACGGCCCAGACUCCUACGGGAGGGAGCAGUGGGGAAUUUUGGACAAUGGACGCAAGUCUGGUCCAGCCAUGCCGCGUGCGGGAAGAAGGCCUUCGGGUUGUAAACCGCUUUUGUCAGGGAAGAAACGAGUUUCUCUAAUACAGAGACUUAAUGACGGUACCUGAAGAAUAAGCACCGGCUAACUACGUGCCAGCAGCCGCCGUAACAC